CACUGCACAAUUGUUUUCCAUUUAGAAAUCCUUUUACUUUUAAGACAAAAGUUUCCCUUCGUUCUUUUGUUUUCCACCAAAAAAUAAGUCAAGUAUGUGAUGCGGAUCCGGACUAAUAAAAGCCCCAAACAAUUAAUCGAAGUAUCUUCGGCUUUUUAGCUAUGUUGCGUUUUUAUCUCGUUCUUAGCAUGUCGUUGCUAGACUGGUGGAUUUCAAAUUAUCAAGGCCAACCUUUCAUCCUUUCUUCGUGGCACCAUUUGACUUGACACUUAGGGUUUCCCUCUUGUUUACAUGAGUGGUCAGAGUAUGUACGAAAAUCAUCACCUUUUUCUUGGAUUUGCUUGUCGGUUUGAAACCCUUCUCAAUUUUGUCCCAACGAUCAAUUUCUUAUCAUUCGGUUCAUAUUAUUUAGCAUCCGGUUCUAUUGAAUAACUAAGUAUCCUUUACUUCUUAAUCUUUCAAUUUUGAAGUUAAAAAAAGGUAAGAAGACCUAAAAAAUUUUCUUGACCGAAAUUUGUUGUUUUUAUUUCGGAAUUGUGGAUUUCGAAUUUCUUACCCAUCUUAGGGUUGGGAAUUCGAUAUUUGUGUAUCUUACUGGUUUAGUUUUGGUGAAAAGAAACAGAUGGAAAAAUUAACGAACGACGAAAUAGUCGAACAAAAUCAAAAGAAAAGAAAAAUAAUCGGCAAUCAAGAGGUCUCAAAAGCCUUAACCCAAUCACCUCGCCACACAUGUUUUGGUGUUAGUUCUUCUUAGUAUCUUUAAGUACAUGUGAAACCCCACACUAAGAGUUCUUGGCGAACCACUAGUUCAACCAAAGUCCUACUCAGGUCUCAACUUGAACCAUAACUCAUCUCUAAUCUACUAACCAAAGCAUUAAAACACAACCAAAAUACUUAAAUAAACUGAAAAAAUGGAAUCCCGGUUCCCAAAACACAACACAACAAAAGGAGAUACAACUCAAAUCUGAAAAAUACAUCAAAAUGAUAUCAUCUUAUAUCAAACCCCGACCAGCUCUCUCUCCACCAUCAACUCUAGUACAUUUGACUGAACACACAGAUGCACCAAGGAAAAUAACAUCUAACGGGGUCAGUGAGAAGCACUGAGUGACUAACUAGACUAGCGUAGAACAGAGAGUAUACUGAAAGUAUACUGAAAUUGAGGAUAGAAGAAGAAAUUCAUCCUAGUCACUACUCUAAUAACGUGACCCUAUGGUCCAGUAGGCAUGAUCCUACCAUCAGUCAGCCCUAACUAUAAUUGAUAGCCUCAUGAUGGAUCAGACCAUGAAACCACCCUGUAGACCGUAGAUAUCGUGUGAGCAGCAUCUGUGGCAUACUCGACACGUCCAAUAUAACCGUAGAAUAUCCAGAGGGAUUGCGCAAUCCAUGGCUGGGUGACCAACGCAUAUCAAGAGCUAAUCUAGCUAAACUUGACCUUGUCCUAAUCAUGAACUAUGAAUCAUAGUUCAACCAUCAUGAGCUUAUGCUUGAAUCAUAUCAUAAUAUAUGUAUAGUAGAUCACACGCUAAUGUACAGCCCAGAGAGCCCUGCUUUGUAUCAUAUCAUAAAUACCUAUAAAGUAGAUCGCAUGCUACUGUACAAUCCUGAGAGCCCUGCUCUGAAUCAUAACAAAUAAUAAUACCAGUACAAUAGAAUACACGUUACUGUACAGUAGUACAUGAAAUCCAAUCUUUGGAUUCCUGAAACCCUAAUUAUAAUUCUACGGUUAAAGUAUAAAAGUAACCUUAGACCCCCACCUCUUCUGAAGAGCUUACAUCUCUGAUUCUUACUUAACAUGAUUCCUCUCGCUGCCACAAAUCUGUAGCUUCUGACCGUGUGUUGUUUGGACUCAAAUGAUCGAGUUAUUCUCCAUUUACUUCUUUGCAAUAAUAAGAAACUCGGAAGGCCAGAACCAUCCUUUCACUUCCCAACUGGACAAAUUACAAAAUCAGCCCCUCAACAUUCCCAACUGCAGAUCAAUCACCAACUUUCUAGAUUUUACAAAUCAGUCCCAAACUUUACAGAAGUUACAUACGAUCACUUAUAUUUUCCAGACUUUGCAGUUCAGUCCAUCGUCUUCACCGGCGAGCUCCUCACCGACGACGAGUAGGUCUCAGCUUCCUAUGACUCUCCGACACGCCUCCAUUGCUCAUCGAUGCCAAGAAUGAUAAAAAACACCAAUAUAUGGAGAAAUCCCAAAACCUAAUUUCAAAAUUGAAUCUCUCAAAAGCUAAUAUGAAAAUCAUAUUUACCUCUGAUCGAUAUAGGGGAAACGAUCCUGAUAUCGUCCUUGUCGAUCUUCUGAAAUCACGAGAGGAUCAGAACUCGUUUGCACCUUCAAACUUGGAAUCUCCUUCUUCAAAUCGCAUUCGUCGACGGCAAAUAAAUUAAGUUUUGGGAGUUCUAAUUCUUCUGCCAAAAAAUCCUUAAAAUCAUUAUAUAAUGACCGUAUCACCUCGUGGCCACCUUAACACCACGCCCGUGGUGAACAAAUAAUCAUGUUCGUGGUGAACAAACAACCAUGCCCUUGGUGACUCCCACCAUGUCCAUGGUCAACAUCCCGUCGUGCCCACGGUCAAUAUUUCACCAUGCCCAUGACCAACUUCCUGUCGUGCCA
rnacentral:lncRNA from 1 species